CGUAUCACCCAAGACAACUUUACGGAGUUGACGAUUGACGGAGCGAAGCGACGUCAAAGCGUUCAUUAAAGUCGAGUUGGCUUAGGGAUACGUUCGUUGGGUAGGGGAGCGUUCUGUAAGCCUGUGAAGGUGUGUCGUGAGGCAUGCUGGAGGUAUCAGAAGUGCGAAUGCUGACAUAAGUAACGAUAAAGCGGGUGAAAAGCCCGCUCGCCGGAAGACCAAGGGUUCCUGUCCAACGUUAAUCGGGGCAGGGUGAGUCGACCCCUAAGGCGAGGCCGAAAGGCGUAGUCGAUGGGAAACGGGUUAAUAUUCCCGUACUUGGUGUUACUGCGAAGGGGGGACGGAGAAGGCUAUGUUGGCCGGGCGACGGUUGUCCCGGUUUAAGCGUGUAGGUGUGUGUUCCAGGUAAAUCCGGUUCACUUUAACACUGAGGCGUGACGACGAGGCACUACGGUGCUGAAGCAACAAAUGCCCUGCUUCCAGGAAAAGCCUCUAAGCAUCAGGUAACACGAAAUCGUACCCCAAACCGACACAGGUGGUCAGGUAGAGAAUACCAAGGCGCUUGAGAGAACUCGGGUGAAGGAACUAGGCAAAAUGGUGCCGUAACUUCGGGAGAAGGCACGCUGACACGUAGGUGAAGUGAUUUACUCAUGGAGCUGAAGUCAGUCGAAGAUACCAGCUGGCUGCAACUGUUUAUUAAAAACACAGCACUGUGCAAACACGAAAGUGGACGUAUACGGUGUGACGCCUGCCCGGUGCCGGAAGGUUAAUUGAUGGGGUCAGCGUAAGCGAAGCUCCUGAUCGAAGCCCCGGUAAACGGCGGCCGUAACUAUAACGGUCCUAAGGUAGCGAAAUUCCUUGUCGGGUAAGUUCCGACCUGCACGAAUGGCGUAAUGAUGGCCAGGCUGUCUCCACCCGAGACUCAGUGAAAUUGAACUCGCUGUGAAGAUGCAGUGUACCCGCGGCAAGACGGAAAGACCCCGUGAACCUUUACUAUAGCUUGACACUGAACAUUGAGCCUUGAUGUGUAGGAUAGGUGGGAGGCUUUGAAGUGUGGACGCCAGUCUGCAUGGAGCCGACCUUGAAAUACCACCCUUUAAUGUUUGAUGUUCUAACGUGGACCCGUAAUCCGGGUUGCGGACAGUGUCUGGUGGGUAGUUUGACUGGGGCGGUCUCCUCCUAAAGAGUAACGGAGGAGCACGAAGGUUGGCUAAUCCUGGUCGGACAUCAGGAGGUUAGUGCAAUGGCAUAAGCCAGCUUGACUGCGAGCGUGACGGCGCGAGCAGGUGCGAAAGCAGGUCAUAGUGAUCCGGUGGUUCUGAAUGGAAGGGCCAUCGCUCAACGGAUAAAAGGUACUCCGGGGAUAACAGGCUGAUACCGCCCAAGAGUUCAUAUCGACGGCGGUGUUUGGCACCUCGAUGUCGGCUCAUCACAUCCUGGGGCUGAAGUAGGUCCCAAGGGUAUGGCUGUUCGCCAUUUAAAGUGGUACGCGAGCUGGGUUUAGAACGUCGUGAGACAGUUCGGUCCCUAUCUGCCGUGGGCGCUGGAGAACUGAGGGGGGCUGCUCCUAGUACGAGAGGACCGGAGUGGACGCAUCACUGGUGUUCGGGUUGUCAUGCCAAUGGCACUGCCCGGUAGCUAAAUGCGGAAGAGAUAAGUGCUGAAAGCAUCUAAGCACGAAACUUGCCCCGAGAUGAGUUCUCCCUGAGACUUAGAGUCUCCUGAAGGAACGUU
rnacentral:rRNA from 1 species